rnacentral:rRNA from 1 species
UACGGAGGGUGCAAACGUUGUCCGGAAUCACUGGGCGUAAAGCGCAUGUAGGUGGCUUGAUCAGUGGACGAUUAAAUACCGAUGCUUAACAUCGGAACUGUUGUCCAUACUGUCUGGCUUGAGAAUGACAGGGGUAAGCGGAACUUUAGGUGUAGGAGUGAAAUCCGUAGAUAUCUAAAGGAACACCAAUGGCGAAGGCAGCUUACUGGGUCUUUUCUGACACUGAGAUGCGAAAGCGUGGGGAGCGAACGGG